AAAUGCAUUACAGGGCAAGAUCUCUAUUGGCAGGAAACCAUUACUUGAACUUUGCAUCUCUUUAUGCAUUUCUUUGUCGUGAGUUUCUGCCAAAGGAGAUUUGCCCGGUAAUUCUUCU
rnacentral:pre_miRNA from 1 species